UUGAAUAAUGUGAGGGGGUUUGGUGGCCUGCCCCUGAGUGGUGCCGGGUGCUCUUUUCUUUGUCCUCCCUGUGAAUCUCCAUCGAGCGCAUUUGGCUUCGCCCCCUGUUCUCCUUUGGGAUACUACGGAAGAGGGUUACGUUUUCUUGUUGUUAUCCUUUUAAAAAGUUUAAAGACUUAUCUAUGGGCUCUCUCAUGGAUCAUAAAUCUAUCAAAAUGGGAUCACUAGGGUCUAUUGAAGAUGAAUAGGAAACCUCAAUGCUUUAAAGAAUCUUUGUUGUCUAAUUGAUUCCCUAGACAAUGCUUGGACCAGGGCUGUGUCCCAUUCAUAUUGCUAGGGUGCCGCUUGUAAGAUUGUAAUUAAAACCUGUGCCUCUGUGGUGUCUGUGGGAUAGUGCUUUACUCCUGAAAGCUGUAGGCCCUUGCAGGCGUGUCUCAAUUUGCUUUCGUUUAAUCGUUAUCUUCGGAGGGGGGUUUCUGAAUGCCAUUCCUCUUCUCCUUUGACCACGAAUCCAGGUCGAGGACCCGGGGAAUGUAAGCAUAUCAACACGCGUAGGACAAUAUAGUAACAUUGAUUCGAGACAUAGCGGGGAACAUAACUCCCAUGACCUGAUUUCUCAAUCUGCCGCUACUGCCGUUGAGUAGAAUCUGUGAAAUUACCCGCUGUGCUGAACGGUGUAAUGUCUUCUGAAAAGACUCUCCCCGGAUUACUCCUAAUAACUGCGAGUGAAGCGGGAAAAGCUCAAAUUUAAGAUCUGGGCGGUCUUGUGGCUGUCCGAGUUGUAAUUUAGAGAAGCGUCUUCCGCGCUGGACCGUGUAGAGGGUCUCCUGA
rnacentral:rRNA from 1 species